rnacentral:rRNA from 1 species
GGACUUCGGUCCCGAGUAAAGUGGCGCACGGGUGAGUAACACGUGGAUAAUCUGCCUCUAUGAUGGGGAUAACAGUUGGAAACGACUGCUAAUACCGAAUACGCUCAUAAUGAACUUUAUGAGGAAAGGUGGCCUCUGCUUGCAAGCUAUCCCAUAGAGAUGAGUCCGCGUCCCAUUAGCUAGUUGGUGGGGUAACGGCCUACCAAGGCAACGAUGGGUAGCCGAUCUGAGAGGAUGAUCGGCCACACUGGAACUGAAACACGGUCCAGACUCCUACGGGAGGCAGCAGUGGGGAAUAUUGCGCAAUGGGCGAAAGCCUGACGCAGCGACGC